GACGAACGCUGGCGGCGUGCUUAACACAUGCAAGUCGAGCGGAGCGGCGAACGGGUGAGUAAAGCGUGAGUAACUGCCCCCCUCUCUGGGAUAACAGUUGGAAACGGCUGCUAAUACCGGAUAGUGGGGGAUGACUCGCGUCCUAUCAGAUUGUUGGUGGGGUAGUGGCCUACCAAGGCGACGACGGGUAGCCGGCCUGAGAGGGCGACCGGCCACAUUGGGCUGGGAUACGGCCCGAUCGCCUACUGGAGGCAGCAGUGGGGAAUAUUGCUCGAUGGGGGAAGCGCUGAUGCAGCAACGCGCGUGCGGUAUGACGGCCUUCGGGUUGUAAACCUCUUUCAGCCAUGACGCGGUAGUGGCAGAAGAAGCACCGGCUAACUACGUGCCAGCAGCCGCAGUAAUAC
rnacentral:rRNA from 1 species